rnacentral:rRNA from 1 species
AUUGAACGCUGGCGGCAGGCCUAACACAUGCAAGUCGAGCGGGGUUUUCGGACCUAGCGGCGGACGGGUGAGUAAUGCGUAGGAAGCUGCCUGAUAGAGGGGGAUACCAGUUGGAAACGACUGUUAAUACCGCAUAAUGUCUACGGACCAAAGUGUGGGACCUUCGGGCCACAUGCUAUCGGAUGUGCCUACGUGGGAUUAGCUAGUUGGUGAGGUAAUGGCUCACCAAGGCGACGAUCCCUAGCUGGCUUGAGAGGAUGAUCAGCCACACUGGAACUGAGACACGGUCCAGACUCCUACGGGAGGCCGCAGUGGGGAAUAUUGGACAAUGGGCGCAAGCCUGAUCCAGCCAUGCCGCGUGUGUGAAGAAGGCCUUCGGGUUGUAAAGCACUUUCAGUAAGGAGGAAGCGUUGAGUGUUAAUAGUACUCAGCGUUGACGUUACUUACAGAAGAAGCACCGGCUAACUCUGUGCCAGCCGCCGCUGUAAGAC